CUCAACCUGCUGACCCCUGCACUUCGUAUGGUACCUGCGGACCAUUCACGACUUGCAACGGCACCUCACAUCCAUUCUGCGAGUGUAUGGAGAGCUUCUCCCAGAAGUCACCACAGGAUUGGGCGCUUGAUGACCGAACAGGAGGCUGCAUCAGAAACACUCCGUUACAUUGCACCAGUGAGAGAAACAAAACAAGUUCCACAGAUAUUUUCCACCCUAUUGCUCGUGUGACAUUGCCCUAUGACCCCCAAAGCAUAGAUGGUGCUACAAAUCAGAGCAAAUGUGAAGAAGCUUGCCUCAAUUCCUGCUCCUGCACUGCCUAUUCCUAUAAAAGUAGCAGAUGCUCUGUCUGGCAUGGGGAAUUGUUGAGUGUAAACAAGAAUGAUGGCAUUGACAAUAAUUCUGAAGAUGUUCUUUAUCUCCGCCUUGCCGCUGAUGAUUCGCCAAAUUUGAGAAGUAAUUCGAGUUGUUAUUUCAUUAGAGUUAUUAUUCCAGCAAGCAUAAUCGGUUCUGGGUUACUAAUCCUCACGUUGUUGUUCAUGAUUUGGAGAAAGAAAUUCAAAUGGUGUGGUGCACCGUUGUAUGACAGUCAAGGUGGUGGUGGAAUUAUAGCCUUUAGAUACACUGAUUUAGUUCAUGCCACUAAAAAUUUCUCGGAAAAGCUUGGAGCAGGUGGUUUUGGUUGUGUAUUCAAGGGAGCGCUAAGUGACUCGACUGCUAUAGCGGUGAAAAGGCUUGACGGUGCCAGUCAGGGAGAGAAGCAAUUCAGGGCUGAGGUGAGCUCAAUUGGACUGAUCCAACAUAUCAACCUAGUCAAAUUGAUUGGUUUCUGCUGUGAAGGUGAUAAGAGGCUGCUUGUGUAUGAACACAUGUCAAAUGGUCUCUCGAUGCUCAUCUAUUUCAGGGCAAUGCUGCUGCCCUAAAUUGGAACACCAGGUAUCAAAUAGUCCUCGGGGUUGCUAGAGGAAUGUCCUACUUGCAUCAGAGUUGCCGAGAAUGCAUCAUACAUUGUGAUAUUAAGCCACAAAACAUACUCCUCGACGGAUCAUUUGUUCCUAAAAUUGCAGACUUUGGGAUGGCAGCAUUUGUAGGCAGGGACUUUAGCCGAGUUCUGACUACAUUUAGAGGAACUGCAGGGUACCUUGCCCCCGAGUGGCUUGGGGGAGUUGCUAUUACAUCAAAAGUUGAUGUUUACAGCUUCGGUAUGGUACUGUUGGAAAUCAUAUCAGGUAGGAGAAAUUCACCUGAAGCAUACAGCAGCGGAAACUAUCAUAUUGAAUAUUUCCCUGUGCGAGCUAUCAGCAAGCUUCACGAGGGAGAUGUGCAGAGUUUGAUGGAUCCACAAUUACAGGGCGACUUCAAUUUGGAAGAGGCUGAGAGGGUUUGCAAAGUUGGAUGCUGGUGCAUCCAAGAUAAUGAGCUUCAUCGGCCAACAAUGGGUGAAGUUGUCCGUGUUCUUGAAGGUCUGCAGGAGAUUGAUAUGCCCCCAGUGCCAAGGCUGCUUGCAGCUAUCACACAAGGCCCUGGAGCUAUAACAGAAGGCUCUGAUGCAUCUUCGGUGUGAUAAUUUAUAAAUACUAUGUAGUGGACGCUGCAAAUCUUUGUUUCAGAAAUUUUUAAUGCUCAAAUUUGGAGCAGAAUGAAUAGAGGAAGUCUUCGAUUGCUAAAUCAUGUGUUCUUAUGGUCCCCUUUUCUCUUAUUUUACAUUUUAAUGAUCGACCAUGGCAUGCAAGCAUUGUACUCAAUUUUUGUUUCAACAGGAGUAGCAAAAUUCUGAGAACUAGGUGUGUGUAUGUUUGUUGAUGAUUCAUAUAGUUGACAUACCAGUACUAACUGCUUAAUUUAAAGAUAUGCCGCUUCUAAGUUGCUCAUUGAAAGAAGCCACCACUAAGUUAGGUUGUCCAAGAUAUGCUGUUAUUGAGGAUAACAUGUUUUCUUCCCUAAAAGAGGCAUUUUAUAUGGCCCCAUAUUUUCAGAUAGAUCAAUGCAUUUACCAAAUACUUGAAUAAUCAACCGAGGAAACAAGAAACUAAAACUACACUCUGAUCAGGUAUGAAUAAAGCUUUCAAGUAACUACAAUCUUUGUUACUAGCUAAACACUAAACAGGUAAUAAACAAGCACUAACUAUAACUGUUCCUAAACAGCAAAAUAAAUAUUCACUGGUCAUAAAUUAUCAAAGGCAGGGAUACUGACAUUAAAUCACAGCAGAAAACUAACACUGACAGGUUGGAACUAUCGGUUACCUUCUCCUGCAGAAUGAAGCACUUGCCCUGGGCGGCUGGGCCGAAUCAGAAUCUUGUGCCAUCGGGAUGACAUAAAGAUGGAGACGACAGGGAGAUUGGUGAUUGGUGCCCAGUGCGCCAAUUAUUGCAACCGGAGAGCAUCGCGCAACAGCCCUCAACUGAUGAGUGGAGGAGCUCUGCAAAAUUGAGAGUGCUUUCCAAUCUUUCAGGUUCGAUCCACAUGCCUCCUUAUUGAUGGAGCAUCACGUCUUGGAAGAGUGGAAGUGAAUCAUCAACAGCAGCUGAUGCCUGGCCUAACCAUAGUCCGGUCCCAGUCCCACAGAUGGCGGCGGAUCAGUCCAGAUCCUCGACGUCCAGGGGCGGAGAAGGUGAGGAUGGCGCAGAGCAUGAGGAUCUGCCGGAGUAUCAAGAGAAGGAGCAGGCGCAGAUCUCCGGCGUACCAUGCCGCCGGCGAGCGCCAUCGCCAUGACAGAUCUACGGAACCGAGGAGCACAGCGGGCGCAAAACGAGGGAUGAAUUUGAAACAUUGUUAUCUGACUUGAGGGGUUUUCUGCAAAUAUUUGGAUCGCGACUACUAAUCGCGAUCCAGAUCAAGGGGUUUCUGCAAAUAUUUGGAUCGCGACUAUUAAUCGCGAUCCAAAUCAGGGGUGUUAAUGUAAAUGUUUGUAUCGAGAAUAAUAAUCGCGAUCCGAAUUAGGGGGUAAUUUGCAAAACCGCUCCCUCCCCCGUCUCGCGCCGCCGCC
rnacentral:lncRNA from 1 species